GUGGGGAAUCUUCCGCAAUGGACGAAAGUCUGACGGAGCAACGCCGCGUGAGUGAUGAAGGUCUUCGGAUUGUAAAGCUCUGUUAAUCGGGACGAAAGAGCCUAGUGUGAAUAAUGCUAGGAAGUGACGGUACCGGAAUAGAAAGCCACGGCUAACUACGUGCCAGCAGCCGCGGUAAUACGUAGGUGGCAAGCGUUGUCCGGAAUUAUUGGGCGUAAAGCGCGCGCAGGCGGAUCUGCCAGUCUGUCUUAAAAGUUCGGGGCUUAACCCCGUGAUGGGAUGGAAACUACAGAUCUAGAGUAUCGGAGAGGAAAGUGGAAUUCCUAGUGUAGCGGUGAAAUGCGUAGAUAUUAGGAAGAACACCAGUGGCGAAGGCGACUUUCUGGACGAAAACUGACGCUGAGGCGCGAAAGCCAGGGGAGCAAACAGGAUUAGAAACCCUGGUAGUCC
rnacentral:rRNA from 1 species